UACGUAGGUGGCAAGCGUUGUCCGGAUUUACUGGGCGUAAAGCGCGCGUAGGCGGAUCGCUAAGUCAGGGGUGAAAUCCCAGGGCUCAACCCUGGAACUGCCUUUGAUACUGACGAUCUGGAGAUCGGGAGAGGUUGGUGGAAUUCCGAGUGUAGAGGUGAAAUUCGUAGAUAUUCGGAGGAACACCAGAAGCGAAGGCGGCCAACUGGCCCGAUACUGACGCUGAGGCGCGAAAGCGUGGGGAGCAAACAGG
rnacentral:rRNA from 1 species